AGAGUUUGAUCCUGGCUCAGGACGAACGCUGGCGGCGUGCUUAACACAUGCAAGUCGAACGGAAAGGCCUCUUCGGAGGUACUCGAGUGGCGAACGGGUGAGUAACACGUGGGUAAUCUGCCCUGCACUUCGGGAUAAGCCUGGGAAACUGGGUCUAAUACCGAAUAUGACCACGAGACGCAUGUCUUGUGGUGGAAAGCUUUUGCGGUGUGGGAUGGGCCCGCGGCCUAUCAGCUUGUUGGUGGGGUGAUGGCCUACCAAGGCGACGACGGGUAGCCGGCCUGAGAGGGUGUCCGGCCACACUGGGACUGAGAUACGGCCCAGACUCCUACGGGAGGCAGCAGUGGGGAAUAUUGCACAAUGGGCGCAAGCCUGAUGCAGCGACGCCGCGUGGGGGAUGACGGCCUUCGGGUUGUAAA
rnacentral:rRNA from 1 species